rnacentral:rRNA from 1 species
CCUACGGGUGGCAGCAGUGAGGAAUAUUGGUCAAUGGGCGCGAGCCUGAACCAGCGAAGUAGCGUGAAUGAUGACUGCCCUACGGGUUGUAAACUUCUUUUAUAAAGGAAUAAAGUGAGGCACGUGUGCCUUUUUGUAUGUACUUUAUCAAUAAGGAUCGGCUAACUCGGUGCCAGCAGCCGCGGUAAUACGGAGGAUCCGAGCGUUAUCCGGAUUUAUUGGGUGUAAAGGGAGCGUAGAUGGGUUGUUAAGUCAGUUGUGAAAGUUUGCGGCUCAACCGUAAAAUUGCAAUUGAUACUGGCAGUCUUGAGUACAGGUGAGGUAGGCGGAAUUCGUGGUGUAGCGGUGAAAUGCGUAGAUAUCACGAAGAACUCCGAUUGCGAAGGCAGCUUACUAAACUGCCACUGACAUUGAUGCUCGAAAGUGUGGGGAGCAAACAGGAUUAGAUACCCCGGUAGUC